UGUUCUGCUAUUUCAAUAACAUGUUUUAUUAACCCUCCAUGGGUCAGCUGCUGCAUGAUGGGAGGACGGCGUGCUGCACCCCGCCGUUCAGCAGAGAAGUGAACGGACCAGAUUCCUGACGUACAGAACAGGACUGUGACACAGGCCGCAGUAUUAGCCUGUAAUAUGAAGCAUUCCACUCCACAUUAAUCACUUUCUUCAGCGUCAAAGACAACGCUCACGCAGGAAUCCAUCACUGCUUCUCAUUCAGAGGAACGUUUUUCACGUUUUACUCAUUCAUGUUUAAACACAAACAGCAACAAGAAACAACUAAAAAUAUCAACAAAUAUUUGCUCCUUAUUACAUGUAAAUGUCAUCCAUGUCAUUAAGAUGAAACGAUCAAAUUAAAUGUUUUUGCUCAUCAUUUUAAUGAACUGCAAUUUAUGGGGUGUUGUUCUGUUCUUUGAGCUAAAUAAAUAUAAGCAUAAAAAAACAUAAAUAAAUAUUGAUGAUGCUGAAGGGUGUGUCUGCUUGUUGUGAUGCUUUGACAAUGGAGGCAGCAAGUGUUUGACGCUAUAGCACAGCAACACACCCAGAACUGAGGUCACCUGAGCAGCAUAAAAGCAGAGGAGCUGCUCAGCAGCAGCAUCAAACCCCGGAGAACUCACCUGUACAUCAGGAUGAAGCUGAUCUUCUCUCUGUGUCUCAUCUAUGCGCUCUGCAGCUCAGCUGCUGCUCUUCAGUGUGACGCCUGUGCAGAUCAGACAUGUUCAACCACAGUCAGUAAGACGUGCAGCUCAGAGACCAUGUGUAUUACAGCUUCCAUCAGAGCCACUUCAUCUCAAGGUUCAGGAGCAUUAAUCUACAAGGACUGUGCUGCUGCUUCUCUUUGUCCAACCACUGGAGCUGCAACCUUUUCCGCCGCCUUGACUUUUUCCAGUGCGAUUGCAUCAGCUCAGUGCUGCAACACGGCCAACUGCAACUCCCAGACCCUGACAUGUACGGACAC